rnacentral:rRNA from 1 species
CCUACGGGGCGCAGCAGUGAGGAAUAUUGGUCAAUGGACGCAAGUCUGAACCAGCCAUGCCGCGUGCAGGAAGACGGCUCUAUGAGUUGUAAACUGCUUUUGUACGAGGGUAAACGCAGAUACGCGUAUCUGUCUGAAAGUAUCGUACGAAUAAGGAUCGGCUAACUCCGUGCCAGCAGCCGCGGUAAUACGGAGGAUUCAAGCGUUAUCCGGAUUUAUUGGGUUUAAAGGGUGCGUAGGCGGUCGGAUAAGUUAGAGGUGAAAUCCCGAGGCUCAACUUCGGAAUUGCCUCUGAUACUGUUCGGCUAGAGAGUAGUUGCGGUAGGCGGAAUGUAUGGUGUAGCGGUGAAAUGCUUAGAGAUCAUACAGAACACCGAUUGCGAAGGCAGCUUACCAAGCUACUUCUGACGUUGAGGCACGAAAGCGUGGGGAGCGAACAGGAUUAGAUACCCCAGUAGUC